UUUCAGGAUUGUGAAGGCUGAAGAGAAAGGAAGAUGUUUGACUGUUUAUGAGAAACCUAUUUUCCCUGUCUCACAUGCCUCUGCUUCAAGAAAUGGUAUCAUCGCAGGCUGGGAAUAUCUGCUUACAACUUUUAAAGGAGAUCUUUAGUCAUAAUCUAUCAAAGCUUUAAAUGAAUGUGAAACCAAGGAGACAAAAUGAAUAACUCACCCUAAUGGAAUAGCAGAUGAUCUGAGAUGGCAAAGGCCCUGACACACAUCUUCCUGUAGUUUAUGAAGCAGUUAUUUUUACAUUCAGACUAUCAGAUGAAUUGUCACGGAGCCACUCCGCUUCCUCUCAGUUCACCCUCUGAAUGAUAAUGGACUUGGAAGACCUUUUAUUUGCUUGGCUGAUGUUGCUACAUAGUCAGGAUUCAGCACACCACCAGGACAUUUUCAAAUGCUUCACAAGUGACUCAACUGUUUUAUUCUUCAUUAACUUUGACUGGAAUUUAGGCUCCUAUCUCACCUGACUGUUUUAAUUAGUUUGGAAAAUCAAAUAAACUCUUUUUUAA